GCGCAACCCUGGACCAGACACACCUGAGGCAGCAGAAAAUGUUUUGCCGGUGAGAAUUCAAAACAAGGUCAAAAUCGUGUGCUCCCAAGUGGCCCAGCCAGUAAAGGUGAUGUCUGAGCGCAGCUUUACGAUCCCAGGGUCGAGUCCGGGUUGUGUCGCUAGCCGACUGUAACCAGGAUUCUCCCAGCCCUGGCAUGUAACUGGGUGGACACCCAGACUGACAGACCCGGCCCUGUCCGGUCAUCACGCGCAGUGAAGUUUACUGGCCCAGGCGCUGGGCUGGAGCUCAGAGAGCACUGUGGCAGGCUGUGGGACCCGGGCCAAUCUGAAAGAAUGGCUGUUCAUGUGAACACUGCUGCCGAUUCAGCACAGAAACGCUGCCGGGAGCAUGCAUUACAUGGCUUAAUGAAAAAAGCAUGCUCCUAUUUCUAUUAACACUCAACCAAGACAUUGCAUUCAAUUAAAGAUGCUUUCCGCAGGAAGACAAUCAUAUGUAAAACAUUUCACUUCUAAUGUAAUUGCAUCUGCAUAAGCACAUGCCUCGGCACAAAGUGGAAUGAUAGACAUGGUUAAUGACAGCUUUCUUACCCUGUCUGUUGGAGCACCUUCAAGAGGAAAAGCCUUUAGAUCUGGUCUUUGAAUUUGAUCUGGUCUUUGAUCUAUGAACUGGCUUCAUUACUCUGUUCUCCUCCC